rnacentral:rRNA from 1 species
UACGUAGGUGGCAAGCGUUGUCCGGAAUUACUGGGCGUAAAGGGCGCGUAGGCGGCCAUCUAAGUCAGACGUGAAAUCCCCCGGCUUAACCUGGGAACUGCGUCUGAUACUGGACGGCUCGAGUUUGGGAGAGGGAUGCAGAAUUCCAGGUGUAGCGGUGAAAUGCGUAGAUAUCUGGAGGAAUACCGGUGGCGAAGGCGGCAUCCUGGACCAACACUGACGCUGAGGCGCGAAAGCUAGGGGAGCAAACGGG